rnacentral:lncRNA from 1 species
UUCAUUCAUCCUCGCUUAAUCUUUCAAGACUUCAACCGACAAGGUGACGACUCCCUUUAGGUUUCGGCGGAAGUUGUUAGGUGAUGGUGUUGUUGUGACGGCGGUUAGGUGGUGGUGGCCGUCAGGUGGCUGUGAUGUGGUGAAGGCAGCGGUCAGAUGGUUGUGAUGUGGUGGUCGCGGGUUGGUGGUUGUGCCAUCGUCACGGUAGCAGUGACGAUUUGAUGAUGGUGGUGGUGGAAAAGAAAGGUCGGUGCACAAGACAACUGUGCUAUCUUAACCUUCGGACCUCACGCCGUCUAUUACUCCGCUACUCCUCUGUUAGUCUCUGUUUCUUCUUCCACAAUUCACUUCAUUUAAUUACAUUACCAUGCUUUAACGUUCACUGAUAGAUAAAUAUAGAUGCGAUUUCUUCGUUUUAAGUUUUUAUUCGUACGAAUUUUGUAGAUCAGUUGACCUAAUUUCAUUAUGAUGAACAUCAAUUUGUGCUUAAUGUUGUAGCUGUAACUUCACAUCUGCUGAUAGAUAUAGAUGAGAUUUGUUCAUUUUUAGUUUGUUUUCGAACGAAUAUUGUAGAUCAGUUGACCUAAUUUCAUUAUGAAGAACAUCAAUUUGUGCUUAAUGUUGUAGCUGUAACAUCAGCUGAUCGAUGUAGAUGAGAUUUGUUCAUUUUUAAGCUGUAUCAGUUGACCUAAAAUUCUCAAUGCUUUCUUUUUUCUGCAACCUUCUCAAUACUUUCUUUCAAAACUUCACAACUGUCGUAGAUGACCAAGUACAGCGACGGUGGUGGUUCGAUCAUGUUCAUCACUAACAAUUACGAGAUUACCGGAGGGGCGGUAAUCCGUUAUGGCGGACAAGGUGGUGGUCAGACGAUUCACAACGCCGACAAGUAUGUGUUAUUAAUUUGACAUGAAUAAGUUUGUAGGCAUCGAUUAGGGUCUUGGGUACUAAGUAUUGUUGCAACAAAUUUGGGGUUUUUGUCGGAAGGCGGCGAUUAGGGCUCCUACAAGUAGAAUAUGGCUGCUAACAAAUCAAAUGGAGUAGUUGACCUCCGCCGAUGUACAAGGUUGCUCGGAUAAGCGGAAUCAAAGGUUCAUCGGUGUCGGAAAAAGCAGGCUUAGAAGUCGGAGAAGGAUGUGUAUUUGAAAUCGGUCAUUUACAUAUUAAUUAAACUAUUAGGUAAGUGACUCGGAGAAAGAGAGGGAAUAAUAGAGGAGGUGGGUCGGUGGCAACAACUACUAGCGAACGCCGAACAAGGGCCACAUCAGGCAGCGAUUGACGUACUCCAGUCGGCAGCAGAUCCAUAUAUGAACAACGAAUUUUUAGAGCGUUUUUCAUUUAUGUUUAGGAUGAUGCAAAUCAAAAAAGUUGGAAACCCUAGCUACUAAGACCUAAUAAUUCUUUCAAGAAGAUGUGGAUUUUGGGAUGAAAUAACUAGCAAUGCAUAUGGUCAGUAAACCGGCAAUGCAAAUGGUAAGUGGUGAUUGUAUAACGGCGCUUGAUAAAGAAUUAUGCAUAUAAUCAUUUCUUAAUUUUGUUUCGUUUCAUGGCAUUUCGAAAUGACCAAGGAGGUAAUAUUCAUUUGCCGUUGAUUUACAGGUUUGCUAUUGUUUAAAGAUUCUGUUACAAAAUAUUUGUAAACAUGUCGGUCAAUUUUUUGUUAGAAUGAUUUUUCUAGUACU